rnacentral:misc_RNA from 1 species
UACGUGGGGUGCAAGCGUUGUUCGGAAUUACUGGGCGUAAAGCGUGUGUAGGCGGCUGGUUAAGUCUGAUGUGAAAUCCCUGGGCUCAACCCAGGAACUGCAUUGGAAACUGGCCAGCUUGAGUCCGGGAGAGGGUAGCGGAAUUCCUGGUGUAGAGGUGAAAUUCGUAGAUAUCAGGAGGAACACCGGUGGCGAAGGCGGCUACCUGGACCGGAACUGACGCUGAGACACGAAAGCGUGGGGAGCAAACAGG